CAGGGCAGAGCGGAGCAGAGCAGCGGACAUCAAUCGUAAGGCCGGCUCCUCCUCAUCUUUAGCUGUGGCGGGUUGACACAGAGCUUGUCACCCAGUUUACAGCACUGACCUGCCGGCUCAUCUCACACUCCCAUAAAGAGAGAGCUAGCCCUGCCUGUGACCACUCAGAUGUCCAUCUCCUACAUGCUCCUCUCUACACCACUAAUACCAGGGAUCACUCCAUCCUAUCCUGAAAGAGAUGUAGGCUGCGUCCCAAAUGGCCCCCUAUUCCCCAUAUAGGAAUGAGCCCUAGUCACGAGUAGUGUACUAAACAUGGAAUAGGGUACCAUUUGGGGCACAAUCGUAGCUACUGUAGUCUGGACGGUGUGUAAGCUAAUGGACAGAGGUAGCUGGGACACCUGGCAGAUGAUGACUGAUAGACUGUGGUGUGGAAACAGCUUCUCUACAGACUUCAGGGUGAUGGGAGUGCUGAUAGGAGUCCUGAUAGGAGUCCUUCUGGGCUACAACCUCAGUCAACAGAGACAAAUCCUUUUAAAAUACAUACCAUUAGCCCAGAGGACCGAGGAGAUUACAUCUGUACUCACAGAGAGGAAGCACACUAAGACCAAGUCAAACACAACUAGAACUGACAGUGCCAAUAGGAAGGUUAUACACCAGAGGUAUCCUGGCAGUUACAGCACAGUAGGAAGAUGUGUGUGUAGGGGAUUUAACAUCAAGUAGAGACUUUGAUCAUGUGUGGAUGAGAUGUAAAUAGGGCUGAGUGCAGCAGUUUCAAACAGGUGUUUAACCAGUCAAUCGUUAGCAGACAUGGUCACCACACACACACACACACACUAAUGAGAACUCAGUAGAUAUUGAAAGACAACAAGGCUUUUACAAUGCAAAAUAGCUGUAUUUUAUGUUGAGUUGAGAGACUAAACAUUUGUUUGUGUUGUGACAGUCAUGUAGGAGUGAAUUCUAAUUCCACCAAUGAGGAAAGUAGUCCUGAAAGGGUUGGAGUAAAAACAGUUUUUUUUUUUUUGGUGUGUCGUUUUUCUU